rnacentral:rRNA from 1 species
GGAAUAUUGCGCAAUGGGGGAAACCCUGACGCAGCAACGCCGCGUGAGUGAGGAAGGUCUUCGGAUUGUAAAACUCUUUUGUUAGGGAAAAAUGGACCAGUAACUAAUAGCGCUGGUUUUGAUGGUACCUAAAGAAUAAGCACCGGCUAACUUCGUGCCAGCAGCCGCGGUAAUACGAAGGGUGCAAGCGUUGUUCGGAAUCAUUGGGCGUAAAGCGCGCGCAGGCGGAUCAGUAAGUCAGGUGUGAAAUCUCGAAGCUCAACUUCGAGACUGCGCCUGAAACUACUAGUCUAGAAUGUCGGAGGUGGCAGGGGAAUUUCACGUGUAGGGGUAAAAUCCGUAGAGAUGUGAAGGAACACCGGAGGCGAAGGCGCCUGCCUAGACGACUAUUGACGCUGAGGCGCGAAAGCGUGGGGAGCAAA